GAUGAACGCCGGCGGCGUGCUUAACACAUGCAAGUCGAACGAAGCCCUGUAUUUGAUUUCCUUCGGGACUGAUUAUUUUGUGAACGAGUGGCGAACGGGGGAGUAACGCGUGGGUAAUUUGCCUUGUACUGGGGGACCACAGUUGGAAACGGCUGCUAAUACCGCAUAAACGCACUGCAUCGCAUGAUGCAGCGUGCAAAACUCCGGUGGAAUAAGAUGGACCCGCGUUGGAUUAGCUAGUUGGUGAGGUAACGGCCCACCAAGGCGACGAUCCAUAGCCGACCUGAGAGGGUGACCGGCCACGUUGGGACUGAGACACGACCCAAACGCCUACGGGAGGCAGCAGUGGGGAAUAUUGCACAAUGGGCGAAAGCCUGAUGCAGCGACGCCGCGUGAGCGAAGAAGUAUUUCGGUAUGUAAAGCUCUAUCAGCAGGGAAGAUAAUGACGGUACCUGACUGAGAAGCACCGGCUGAAUACGUG
rnacentral:rRNA from 1 species